UCAACCCCCACCCCCGCCACCGCCUCAGCAGCAUCAGCUUCAGCAUCAGCAUACCCCGGAAUUCAGCAACAUUAUUCCACCUCUGGGACCCAUUAGGAUGCCGAGCAGCAAGAUGCCCAAGGGCAGGCGGAUUUCGGGUGAUCAUGUGGCAUAUGAUGUAGAUGUGAGGUCGCAAGGGGAGGUUCAGCCUCAGCUUGAGGUUACCCCCAUCACUAAAUACACUUCGGAUCCUCAGCUGUGCUUGGGAAGGCAAAUUGCUGUCAAUAAAUCUUACAUUUGUUAUGGGUUGAAGCAGGGAAAUAUUAGGAUUCUUAACAUCAAUACCGCAUUGAGGUCCUUGUUUCGCACCCAAUCUCAGAGGGUCACUGACAUGGCUUUCUUCACUGAGGAUGUUCAUCUCUUAGCUAGUGUUGGCAUAGAUGGACGGAUAAAUGUCUG
rnacentral:misc_RNA from 1 species